CCUACGGGUGGCAGCAGUGGGGAAUAUUGCACAAUGGGGGAAACCCUGAUGCAGCGACGCCGCGUGAGUGAAGAAGUAUUUCGGUAUGUAAAGCUCUAUCAGCAGGGAAGAAAAUGACGGUACCUGAUUAAGAAGCCCCGGCUAACUACGUGCCAGCAGCCGCGGUAAGACGUAGGGGGCAAGCGUUAUCCGGAUUUACUGGGGUUACAGCGAGCGUAGACGGCAGCACAAGUCUGGAGUGAACUGCCGGGGCUUAACCCCGGAACUGCUUUGGAAACUGUGCAGCUAGAGUGGAGGAGAGGUAAGUGGAAUGCCUAGUGUAGCGGUGAAAUGCGGAGAUAGUAGGAGGAAGACCAGUGGCGAAGGCGGCUUACUGGACUGUAACUGACGUUGAGGCUCGAAAGCGUGGGGAGCAAACAGGAUUAGAUACCCUUGUAGUC
rnacentral:rRNA from 1 species